GACGAACGCUGGCGGCGUGCUUAACACAUGCAAGUCGAGCGGUAAGGCCCCUUCGGGGGUACACGAGCGGCGAACGGGUGAGUAACACGUGAGCAAUCUGCCCUUCACACGGGGAUAACCACCGGAAACGGUGGCUAAUACCCGAUACGACCACUUCAGGCAUCUGAUGGCGGUGGAAAGUUCCGGCGGUGGAGGAUGAGCUCGCGGCCUAUCAGCUUGUUGGUGGGGUAAUGGCCUACCAAGGCAACGACGGGUAGCCGGCCUGAGAGGGUGACCGGCCACACUGGGACUGAGACACGGCCCAGACUCCUACGGGAGGCAGCAGUGGGGAAUAUUGGACAAUGGGCGAAAGCCUGAUCCAGCAACGCCGCGUGAGGGAUGACGGCCUUCGGGUUGUAAACCUCUUUCAGCAGGGACGAAGCGCAAGUGACGGUACCUGCAGAAGAAGCACCGGCCAACUACGUGCCAGCAGCCGCAGUAAAAC
rnacentral:rRNA from 1 species